AACGUAGGACACAAGCGUUAUCCGGAGUUACUGGGCGUAAAGGGCGUGUAGGCGGAUGGGUAAGUCUAUUCUGAAAGCUCCUGGCUAAACUGGGAGAGGCGAAUGGAGACUGCUGAUCUAGAGUGAGGAAGAGGAAAGUGGAAUUCCGCGUGUAGUGGUGAAAGUGCGUAGAGAUGCGGAGGAACACCAGUGGCGAAAGCGGCUUUCUGGUCCUUAACUGACGC
rnacentral:rRNA from 1 species